GCGGGAGUGGUGAAAUUGGUAUACACGCAGGAUUUAGGUUCCUGUGCCGCAAGGCGUGAGGGUUCGAGUCCCUUCUCCCGCA
rnacentral:tRNA from 1 species